rnacentral:rRNA from 1 species
GACGAACGCUGGCGGCGUGCCUAACACAUGCAAGUCGAACGAAGCAUUUGAAUGGAUCUCUUCGGAGUGAAGCUCUUAUGACUUAGUGGCGGACGGGUGAGUAACGCGUGAGUAACCUGCCUUUCAGAGGGGGAUAACAGUUGGAAACGACUGCUAAUACCGCAUAACGUAUCGGAACCGCAUGAUUCUGAUACCAAAGCUGAGGCGCUGAAAGAUGGACUCGCGUCUGAUUAGAUAGUUGGUGAGGUAACGGCUCACCAAGUCGACGAUCAGUAGCCGGACUGAGAGGUUGGACGGCCACAUUGGGACUGAGACACGGCCCAGACUCCUACGGGAGGCAGCAGUGGGGAAUAUUGCACAAUGGGCGCAAGCCUGAUGCAGCGAUGCCGCGUGAGGGAAGAAGGUUUUAGGAUUGUAAACCUCUGUCUUCAGGGAC